CACGCUUGUUGAACAUUGUAGCAAUUCCGAUACGGUUCCCGACUUUUCGAUAAGACCAUGGAAACCUGUGAUGUCAUGGUUUCAGAGUGGCAUCAUGGAUUCCGACAUGGCGCUUCACACCAGGAUCCGAUCUAUGCUUACGACUUCUCUUCUCUCAACUUACCGAUUCUUCUGCUCUGUUGUGGAACUGUAGCAAUUCCGACAUUGACUAGCCGUAGCUAUGACGAGAAUCAGAAGCUCGAUGUGAAGGUUUUUCCUGCAAUUUUGUUACGUUUGGACUUUCGCUUCUUGCCUAACGUCUGUGAAUUUCAGAAUAAAUUGGGUUGAAGAAUUGCCAGAAAAUAUGGUGAAUCAUGCAAGCCUGCAAGCACGGACGCAGAGGUUGAUGAUGACAAGCUGAGAAGAAACGAAUGUUUAAUCCUGUAACCAACCCGCAAGUUGAAACUUCAGCUGGGCGUACUUUGAUACUGUGGGCAAGAGUUGGAAGGGGGCGUCACUCGAAAGUUGCAUCAACGAGGUCAACACACUAAGGUGCAAUGAAGGCCGCAGCCUUUGAUCUGUGUCAUUCCGCUGAUCUCAUGAUGCGACGAGCAAGCCCAGAGGCAGCCCUGAAGCUCAAUUUGCUCAAGAACCAGGGCCUAUUUCCCUGACAAAGAUGCACGCCAAAGGUCAGGUCAUUGAGCUACAACACGAAGGAUCUGAUGGCAAGUCCCUGAGUCAACGCCAUUCUGAUGACGCGUCUGCAACUGGAGAGAAUGACGGAGUAGCAAAUGGGGAAACCAGGGGCGAGAAGAAACGUAAGAAACGUUCAAAGAAUUGGACUGAUGAGGAAACUGAGGUGUUGUUGGAGGCUGUUCCUCGGAAAACGAAUGUAAAGAGUCGAUUCGACAAGAGUGAUGGCAGUGAACUGUCAUGGGAGGACAUGGCCAAUAAGCUGCCCGGGAGGACAGGGGAUGAAUGUCGAAUGAGGAUGGAUAUGCUUACAAAAUCGUACAAGGCAAUCAAGACAUAUUGUGAGAACCAAAAGAAGAAGUUCAGGCUGCUGACGAAAGUGGACUUUGAAGACAUCAAGCUGGCAACCCACUUUCCAAAGAGUUAAUAUAAGUGUUUAUGCGAUUAUUGCCCACCCAGAUCAAAUAAGAAGAUGACAAACCAAGGAGCUGGAAAUCCGAUUGAGAGCAAAGGUGAGCCUGGUUCUCUCAGUGACGAAUUCCACAAUCUUGUUGCAGAGGGUUCAAAGGUGGUGAUAACAACCGAUCAAGUCAACUAGAGUAAGAUACAAGUGAAUGCAUUUGCAGCAGUGGUAUGUUUCCAAUCUAGUGAUCUGGUAUUGAAGGUAUCGGUGGGCAUGCUUGAACAAAUAGAUACUUGCAAGUCCAUAAAGCCACAAGGAUAUACUCAUCCGUCAAAGUUAAAUUGCCAAUGCCAAAUGAGCGUGUAAGAUGAAACUGUGUUGCUUGUAAAUUUGCUUGAUUGACUUUAUUGAGGGAGAGGGCUUUCUGCUACAAUCAUCUCCAAAGUUUUCAGUCCUGCUUCAGACAUUUGUCUUGAGAAUUGGUUGUUUCUUCCUUAUUCGUGUAAAUUUUGUCCUCUACUUCUUCUUCUUCUUCUUCUUCUUCUUCCUUUAAAUAUUUUCUGUUUCUUCUUCAGUGACUUCUCUUAGCUCUUUUUAUUUCAUCCUUUCAAUCGUUUAAUUCCAUCCUCUCUUUGCUUCUCUUCCUUCUGUCUUCUUCUGGGUGUUUUUCCAUGUUAUAUUGAGUUGUUCGUGCGGAAGCGGAAGCAAAAUUGGGAGCGAUAUGCAAACACCGCGUUUAGCAGAAAGAAUACUUCAUUUCAAUUCAAGAAACAAGAUGGAGCUGGGCUCGAUGUUUGAAGCAUAUCCAAAUGUGGAUUUGCGUGAUGAUCAGCACCAGAAGAGUACGAAUAUGGAGGGAGUGUGGAAGCCACUGAAGGCGGCCACCUUAGUGAUAUGUCUAUGCCUCAUCAUCAAGUGUGGCUGAAAGGUUGAGGUUUAAUAGCCAGCUAUGGUUGGUGUGCAAGCUGAGAGACAUGAAAAUUGAGCUGGAAAUAAUAUGGGAACUAGGACGGAUGGAGCCGAGCUGCAUUGCAAUCGAAUUCUGAGUUUCAGCGGGGGAUUCGGUUUCAGGCGGCUAUGCACAACUAGGCAAUAAGGUAUGAUUCACGAAACUGUCACUCUUGUUGCUGAAUAUUAGACCAACUAAGUUGUCUGAGUCACGUUGUCAAUGCUAAGAUCACUGCCACGAGGCCUGUCAACCGUAAGUGGAACCGCGGACUAUGAGGCAGUCGAUUGAGUGUUGCAUGAAAAAGUUGCAGGUUAUUGUUCGAAUUGGUUCGUCGGCUGACCAACUUGAAGAUUUUCAUGAUUACAGGCUAAUUGUAUGUAUGUUCUGGCCAAAUUGAGUGAUUUUCGAAAUCUGAUGGUAUUCAUUGAGUUUAUUUCUUGAGUUCUAUCUUUCUAUCUUCUGCUUUGGCGCACAUAUGAAAGAGCAAUAUUAUUGCAAGGAAGUUGGACGGUAUUGGAAGGCCCUAUCUGAUGAAGUAGUGAAUGAGGAAUAUUUGAAGACCGUGGUGAACAUUGUAUGAAGAGGAGCCGUAUGACGUCGACCGCAUACGUGCAAUUGUCUAAGUGGGAGCUGUUCAGAACUGGGCUAUUCAGCGCCACUACCUGGAGAUGCGAGGACUAUAUGUGAUGCUUAUUUUUUAUAAAAAAAUUCAACACUGUAUGUUUUGCUUCAGGCAUCCACUGGAUUUAUUAUGGGGGACCGGGUCGUUUAUAAAUAGUUCUGGCGACGGUAUUGGUGAUACGUGGAGUUAACUGUAUGCGUCUAGGCCCAUGUUUUCCAGGCGCUAUCAGACCCGCAUCGAGGCCCCACAACGUUGGAAUCUGAGAAAGAACUGAGGUGCACCGGAUGCACCAUUGUCAGUAGCGGUCGAGCCCAACACAUCUGCCCAUACAACUCCUGCACUUCACCGCAUGAACCCCCAGCUCCUCGUCUACGAAACGAAAGCCCAAGCGACCUCCUCCUGCAUACACAUCACUGGACUGCACCCAUCGAUGAUCAGCAAGACCUUGAGGAUCCGAUGUUCCUAUUUCUUCGGAAUUUCUGCUUUGAUUUCAAUGCGGAAGACUUCAAAUUAGCUUUUGAGCGCUUAUAAAUUAAUGAACAAUCUGAACUACCCUACCAAAAACAUUGAGUUUACAAAGUAUUUUGCAACCAAGCUGGUUUGCUUGGUAGCCAUUUCGUGACCUGUCUGUUGUAUUGAGUAUAUUAAUGAA